UAGCAUUCCGUGGUCAAUCAAGGAUGCAUUGGUUGAGAAUAGGAAAUAACAGCCUUAAUUUAGGAUUAAAAAUAUUUUCAAACUACUGAGAAAGCAGCUAAACCAGAACAUUUUUCUAAAUUUUGUAUCAUGGAGAACGGUGCCAGGAAGUUACAACAAAGAAAUCAAAUUUUGUUUCUACCCCAAAGACCAAAUUAAUUAGUUAUGCGUGAAUUGAUUUACUACUAAGGCUAAAUAUGCUGAGAAUUUUCUGUAAAGGACUCAAAUGGUGUGCCUGCCGCACAUAUCAAAUUGAAUUCAUUUGCUACUCAUGCUAGCUAUUCCAAGAAUUUAAAGCUCCUUCACCAAUCAACAGAGAAAAUAUUGAAGGACCAAAUUCCGUUGGUCAAUAAUUUCUGAAACUUAAUUGAGGCUCAGGUGCUCAACGUCUAGUUUUCACAUUUGCUUGGAUAAAUCAUGCGGUUUGUUAAGGAGCUUCUCCGUUUGCUUGAAAUUCACUCCGGAAAAUCCUUUUAUGGCUCAUUGAGCAACAAACUGAAUUAUCAAUUGGACAGCAGCUGCCAGCAACCCAGAAGCCACAGUUGAUUUUUGAUCAUCCUUUUUCAAUUCUUGUAUUUCUAAUCUAGAACUAGAUGACAUUUAGUAUCAAGUUGUAUUUGAUGCUAUUGUCUCAAAUGUGCAACAUGGUUUUUGAAUUUAUUUUCAAAUUUCUGAAAUAUAGAUUCGAAAUUGAACUUCAAUAUGAUAAAAUACAGACAUGCAACAGGUUUCUUUAGAAAUCCUCUCUGCUUUUGAUUUGUAUUAGUCUUGUUAAUAUAUUGGUCAAUGGCAGAUUAUAUAGUCUUUGAGUUAUCCCUUUUGCAUUACUCAAGAUUUCA